GAUGAACGCUGGCGGCGUGCCUAAUACAUGCAAGUCGAGCGAAAAGACGAGGUUCUUGCUCCUCUGACGUUAGCGGGGGACGGAUGAGUAACAUGAGGAUAACCUAACUAUAAGACAGGGAUAACAUAGGGAAACCGGAGCUGAUACGGGAUAAUAUCUUGAAGGGGAGGGUUGAAUAGUGGAGGAGGGUUUGGCUGGAAUUUAUAGAUGGAUGCGCGCCGUAUUGGCUGGUUGGUAAGGUAACGGCUUCGCAAGGCGGCCGUGCGUAGCCGACCCGAGAGGGUGAUCGGCCACACUGGAACUGAGACACGGUCCAGACUCCUACGGGAGGCACCGGUAGCGACGCUUCCGCAAUGGGCGAAAGCCUGACGGAGCAACGCCGCGUGAGUGAUGAAGGUCUUCGGAUCGUAAAACUCUGUUAUUAGUGAAAAACAAAUGUAUAAGUAACGAUGCACGUCUUGACGGUACCUGAACAGAAAGCCACGGCUAACUACGUG
rnacentral:rRNA from 1 species